AUUCCGGUUGAUCCUGCCGGAGGCCAUUGCUAUCGGGGUCCGAUUUAGCCAUGCUAGUCGUACGAGUUUACACUCGUGGCGAAUAGCUCCGUAACACGUGGCCAAACCACCCUCCAGAGAACCAUAACCUCGGGAAACUGAGGCUAAUAGUUCAUACCCGUCCCACGCUGGAAUGCCGGGACGCGCAAACGUUCCGACGCUGGAGGACGUGGCUGCGGCCGAUUAGGUUGACGGUGGGGUAACGGCCCACCGUGCCGAUAAUCGGUACGGGUUGUGAGAGCAAGAACCCGGAGACGGAAUCUGAGACAAGAUUCCGGGCCCUACGGGGCGCAGCAGGCGCGAAACCUUUACACUGCACGCGAGUGCGAUAAGGGGACCCCGAGUGCGAGGGCAUACAGUCCUCGCUUUUCAGCACCGUAGGGAGGUGCUGGAAUAAGAGCUGGGCAAGACCGGUGCCAGCCGCCGCGGUAAUACCGGCAGCUCGAGUGAUGGCCGAUUUUAUUGGGCCUAAAGCGUCCGUAGCU
rnacentral:rRNA from 1 species